rnacentral:rRNA from 1 species
UACGUAGGGGGCAAGCGUUGUCCGGAAUCAUUGGGCGUAAAGAGCGUGUAGGCGGUCCGGUAAGUCGGUUGUGAAAGCCCAGGGCUCAACCCUGGGAUGCCGACCGAUACUGUCGGACUAGAGUUCGGAAGAGGCGAGUGGAAUUCCCGGUGUAGCGGUGAAAUGCGCAGAUAUCGGGAGGAACACCUAUGGCGAAGGCAGCUCGCUGGGACGUUACUGACGCUGAGGCGCGAAAGCGUGGGGAGCGAACAGG